GCGUGAACGAUGAAGGCCUUCGGGUUGUAAAGUUCUUUUUAGCCGGAUGAGGAAGGACAGUACGGCUAGAAUAAGUCUCGGCUAACUACGUGCCAGCAGCCGCGGUAACACGUAGGAGACGAGCGUUAUCCGGAUUUACUGGGUGUAAAGCGCGUGCAGGCGGUUUCGUAAGUUGGAUGUGAAAGCUCCUGGCUUAACUGGGAGAGGUCGUUCAAGACUGCGGGACUAGAGGACAGCAGAGGGGAGUGGAAUUCCGAGUGUAGCGGUAAAAUGCAU
rnacentral:rRNA from 1 species